CCUCAUGGAUGCCUGCCCCGUGCAGAUCCCCUGUACAACUGUGAACCGGAUCAAAGGCUGGAGUUACCAGAUCCCUUAUUGUAAGUGACACUUGCAAAUGUUAACCCUGCUUCGUGUUUCCAACCCAUACCUGAAUAAAUACAUAAUCAUAUCACACAGCAUAAUUAAUAAGAGUAUCACCAUGAAGGACUCUUAAAGGAAAGGCUGUUGAAAGAGAGUUCCUGAAGAUAAUCCUUUUAAAAGGUUUCCUUAAAAUGCAACCACUAGCGGGAAUAAGGUAGGUUUAGUUCCAACAUCUCAAUACCUCUGCUUAGCACAGUUUUAGAUCUUGUAAAUGUCUUUCCUUUAAUAUUGGCUUGACUUUUGAUUUGGGACUUGCACUUUUUUGGAGGAUCUCAUUGCUGCUGUGGUUCUCAAUGGAGAAGGUCCCCAGAGGAGGCCCAGCCUGGCUCCCCUUUCCAUUGACCCAUCGGGGACUCACAACCUCGUUUCUGCUGGAAAUCAAACAUGAUUGCGUCUUGCCUGCUUGUAAUAACCUGUCCAACUUCACCAUUCUGGAGCAAGAACUGAUGUCCUGCACUUUUGUUUAAUGACCCAUUUGAGUAACUUUCAGGGUGCUGCUUAAUUUGUCUUUUUUCCUUAUCCUGGAUGGCACCCCAACUCCUGGGCCAUGGAAACGGGGCUCGGCUGCUCCCAAGCUCUUUGCUUAGUGGUGUUGCUUGAGUCCUCCAUUGUGCUUAGAAAAGUCCUGCGUGGCACCCUCUGCCAGAGUCGGUCCUCAGUUUUGUCUUGAGGAUAUGCAAGCGCUGGACAACUCCACACUGUGUAUAUUCACCCUGAUGCAGCAACAUAGUCUGACUUGAGGUCUUCUGGCUCCCUCAGUGUGAGCGUUUCCAGAGGUAACUCUUUUCACCUAUAAAGCAGAGAUGGAACGAAGUGGGAGGAAGCUCCCCCUUCUGCAAGAUGGUGUAUUUGACAGCAGAGAUGGAGCCUGAGGUUGCAAAAGUCCUUUAAGGAGUAUGGAUUUCCAGAUGUCAUUUACUGUAUUAAAAGCUGGACACCCAAUCCAACUCC